CUUCAGACUAAAAGAACAUGGAUGUCAUCAAUGUCACUGCCUUGCCCAUGUUGCCAAUGGAUGAGCACCUGACUGUCUCCCUCGUGACCCGGAACGCGGUGGAGAAUGCCCUGAGGAAGAGUCUGGAGGACAACCCACCCCGUAUCCUUCUAUGGUGCCGUCUACAAUCCAGGCCAAAUACACCUGCCCCAGAGGGGUAACCACUGCCUACGUCUGUGUCAUGCACGAUCAGCCCCUUUCCUUAUGUGCUCGUUAAUUUUUUCAAUCAGUUAAGCCCUGCUGUCCUCUGAAAGAAUCUGUUGAGACUGACGGAUUGUUUGGUUUGAGUUUAUUUUACUAGGAUAAUCAGAAAGGGCCCUGGAGGAAGAAGUACUAGAAAUAAUGGUUGAAAGACUAGGACAGAAGAAGGGGAAAAAAAAAAUAAAAAGCUUAUAUAUUUUUUUUCAUUUUCUCAUUCUUUCUCUUCUGUCUUCCCAGGAAUUAUAGAUGGCAACUAAGAAGUCCCAGUGUAGCCCUCUGCCCCCAGAUAAGUGACCUUCAGACACAACUUUGUUGUUGUUCUCACCCCAGCUGACCUCACCUCUUGUGAUCACCGGCCCUCCCCUUCUGCCUGGCCUCUGAGUUUGCCCGUUCUGGCAUCCCCCAGGCUCUUCCAGCAUCUGACUUCUCUAGCCCUGCCUUCAUCUUCAUCUCACUUCUGACUCUGAACUCUCCGCCAGGGACCACCAGAAGCCUGUCUGUGGAGGACCUUAGCGCUCAUUUGUCAUAUAACCCUUUUGGGUUAUAAAUAACCCCAGGUCGUCUUGUCUCAUCAAGAGCUUGUUGACCUUCAAGUCCCACUGCUGCCAGCCAGGCUGGCUGGGUCUGCACCUCUCAGGAUCCCUUCUCAAGAUGAGCACAAGUGAUCCCAUCAAGGUCUGCUUCGAGGACUUACUUUCCUGGGCCUUUUUCUGAUGUCCCCUCUUUCUUCUUAAUCCCUCACUCAUCUCAACGUAACUAACCCAUUUCACUUCCUGUGAUUUGUCAUGUCCCUCCUUGGCAUCUUCAUUUGUCAAGUAUCCUCCAAUCUGUGAGAACCCUUGAGAGUAAUGGAAGUAAGAGUGACCCUGCUUUAUGUGUAGGCAGUGAGGAGUGAUAGGAUUACGGGGCUACUACAGAGGCUAUAUCCUAGACCGGUUGAGGCCAAGAUAGAAAGAAAUGCAGAGAUAGAGAGGGUAAUGAGAGGGGCCCUUGAGCUGAACAGAGAUUUCAACAGUGAUAAGCAAGGUCAAGAUACCCUCUGAGCCAGUCAUCCCUCACCUGAAAAUCUCUGUUGGAGGAAUAAUCCAAAAUAUGGAAACAGCUCUCUUACUGUGUACAUCGCAGCAUUAUUUUUAAUUGUAAGACACGACGAUCAACUUAAAUAUUCAGUAACCAUGGAACAGUCAAGUGGUGUGUUCUCGAAAUAGAUUGAUACAAUGCCACUUAAAAUAGUAGGAUUAUUUAGCUUUUUGGAAAAUGAUCAUAAUAACGAGUGGAAGAGAAGUCAGAGCCCUAAAAUAGACAUUUGCUGAGAUUAUAAUGAUAGAAAAAAGGUAUGUAUAUCAAAAAUACUGGAAGGAAAUCUCCCCAGAUCCUAACAGAAGUUGUUAACAUGGGAGUGUAAUGGAAGAAUCUUUUUCUCUUUUCCAGGGUGUCUAGGAUAUGGUUAAUUUUCAUUUAGAAUUCAUAAAGCAGCUCAUUUAAAAUGAUCAAAGAGGUGUGAAUGUUUAGAAAAAAGAUAGUUAAGUGGAGAGAGAAAGCUCAGAAAGAGAAUGAGCUAGGCCAGCCUUCCCCAUAGCCGUGUGUGAUCAAUACGCAGAGAGUUUCCUUACAGACUCCCCUCCCAGCCUGCAUUAUUGGCUCCAUACAGCGCGUGAACCAAAAGAUUGCUGAUCUCAGUCUGAGUCCCAAACCGUUGGCCAACAGCCUGAAAAUGAGGAUAACAGUAAUAAAGGUUCUCACGGGGCUGUUGCAAGAAUUAGAGGGGUUAAAACUCACCAAAACCCCUAAACCAGGGCAGAGAAGAGUGCCUGGCUCACAGGAGGGACAUUCUAUAUGUAUAAACAUGUAAGAGAAAAGUCUGGAAGGUUACACACAAUCCAUGGAGUCAGUUCUGGAAAGUGGGGGGGAUGGAAGGCAAUUGAGAGAUAUGAGUUGGAGAAGAAGGCUUUGAGAGAGAAAAGUCAAGACGGCCUGAGAAACAGAGACAAGAGUCAAAGCAAAUCAGAGUUCAUCUGCAGAGGCUCCGAAUCCAGGAGUGUCAGACCUUUCAUUUCUAAAAGGAAAAUAGCCCACAAAAAUCUCUUGGCAGAACUGUACCAGUACACAUCAUUUAACAGCGCCAUACCAAACAGGCUUCCUAACGGGGUGAACUUCUGUGACAUGGUGGGCAAUGUGGUCCGCUCUGAGAGACACCCCCUCAGUGGCAAGUCUUUCUGUUCAGAUAAAGAAUUAGAGAAGUUUCUCUCUUCUCCUUUUCUAAGAGCCAUAUGGCUGGAUAGCUUCUGGUGGAUCUUUCAUGAGAGGUACCAGCCCAACAAGGAGUUCCAGAAUAAAAUGUUUGAUCGGAUAGCCCAAAACUACGCCUUUCUCUUAUUGUGUGAAUCCAAGUCCCACUACGAAGAGGCGCUCUUAAAAAAGCUACCAUCGCUGCUGAGUAAAGCUGUGUAUACCAGCUUCUGUUGCUGCUUCCCUCAGUCCUGGUUCAACACGCACGAAUUCAAAUCGAGCAUCUGUAACACGGUGAGCCUGUGGAUUUCAGGCAUCUACCCUUGCCUACAGAGCUACAACAGCUGGAACUAUUCAGAACUGGAUCCAGAGAGAUUCCGGAGAGAAAAAUUAAUUUUGCAGAGAAGACUGUUAAAGAAAAGAGAGUUCUCUUUGUUCACUUCUAAGAGAUAUGUUGCCCAGACAUCUAUCCAGUACAAGAAAGUUCCCUACCCUAAGGAGUCUCCUGGUCUAAGUUCAACCACUGAGAAAGACUCUUCGGCCAAGAAGAAUUCAGCAGAUACACCCCAAAACCAGAAUGCCACAAAAGAGCAUCCUGUUCAGACUCUGGUCUUUAGGAAAGCUGCAAAACUAGUCAAGAGGAUAUCAGAAGCAAGAGAAUGUGAGAAUAUGCUUCCCAAGCAGUCUCACCCAGCGUGCAAAAGCCCUGAGCUGACUUCAAACUUCUUCAACAUUUACGGGAAGAGUCCUCUGAUUGUGUACUUCCUCCACAACUACGCCCAUCUGCCCCAGGGUGGUGAAGACGUGUUGAUAGUCAGGAGGGAAAGAACCAGGAGCAUCCCUGAGUCCAUGCUGACGUAUGCUGAGGUCAUUGACCUGACCCUGAGCAACAUGAAGAAGCGGAGGGACAACUUCCACCAACUGAAAUGGCUCCACUGGAAUGAAUGGAAGUAUUUUGAUGUGUACCUAAGGGAACUGCAAGAAAACUUCCUCAGGGAGGUGAAGAAUAUCGAUCAAAGAGCAUUAGAACGAAAGAAGACAAACCACAUGUUCAUCCCACCUUCCACCUUGGUUGAGGACUCCUUUGACAAGAAAUCUAGAGGAAGUCCUGAGAGGGAGACUGCAUUUCUUUUAAGGAAGGAAAAGGAGAGGGAGAGAAAAGCAAGAGAGAAGCUGGACGGCUCUCCCUUGUCACUAUCAGGCCUUGACUAAUUCUCUCCCCUGGAACUGGGAAGCUCCCUCAGGAGCCCUGAUAUUUCUACCAGGGAGGACACCAAGAAGUGAAAACCAAUGCAGAAAAGUGAAUCCAGCUUCCUUAACCCCUCACCUUCUAGCUCUCCUGGAUGAACCCUUGUCCAAGAAUGGGGACAACUAUUGGCUGAAGCCUGCCCAUGUUGUUGGGUCUCAUCGAAAGCAGAAACAACAAAACAAACAAAACAGUAAUACCACAACACAUGUAGUUGUUUCCAGUCCAUGGGACAAAGAAUAUUAAAGUUCACUUCUACCCUUGGACAAAGUCAG